UUCUACGGCCGUACUACCCUGAACACGCCCGAUCUCCUCUGAUCUCAGAAACUAAGCAGGGUCGGGCCUGGUUAGUACUUGGAUGGGAGAAAUGCAGAAACUUGGGCU
rnacentral:rRNA from 1 species